GCAUAUCAAUAAGCGGAGGAAAAGAAACUAACAAGGAUUCCCCUAGUAACUGCGAGUGAAGCGGGAAAAGCUCAAAUUUUGAAUCUGGCGGUCUUUGCAGACCGUCCGAGUUGUAAUCUAGAGAAGCGUCUUCCGCGCCGGCCCGUGUACAAGUCUCCUGGAAGGGAGCGUCUUAGAGGGUGAGAAUCCCGUCUCUGACACGGACCACCGGGGCUAUGUGAUGCGCUCUCGACGAGUCGAGUUGUUUGGGAAUGCAGCUCAAAAAGGGUGGUAAACUCCAUCUAAAGCUAAAUAUUGGCGAGAGACCGAUAGCGAACAAGUACCGU
rnacentral:rRNA from 1 species